UCACAGAUAUAAAAUCUAGGCUACAGUAUUAGAUAUUAGUCCUGGAGAAAAGUUUAUUGUUGUACAAAAUGCUAUGUUAAAUAGGAUAAUAAGGUGCAUGCCUUUACUUUAUAUUACAUGCCUAAAUGGUACAAAUUAAGAGUGAGUACCAUUUAUUCAUAGCAUAAUUUUAACACAGAUAUGGUUCGAUUUCCCUUCUUGUAGGUGAAUGUCUGAUAAUCAGGACUUACUUUGGGAACAUGGAGAGAAGAUUAGCAUUGGCUUCAAGUGCAAGUAUUAUCGUGUUGAAAAGGUGGAGGAGGGGCAACCCAUGCCACACAAAAUCAUGGUCAACCCAUGUCACAACGGAGGACGACAAGCAACCGACGUCGAUCUGAUCCUCGGGAUGGUGAUAGCUCCAACUCAGUAAGUUCAACCUUCAGCUAUCCACGUCCACCCUCCUACCCAUAUCCAUACCCACAACCAUACCCAUAUCCGUACCCACAACCAUAUUCACACCCACCACCAUAUCCAAGCCACUUCAUUCAACUACCGGUACAUCUUGGCAUGAGCACUAGUGGUCAGAUUGGUGAAUUACAGGAAUAUUAUUAUGGAUAUCACACAUACCAGCAAGAAGAGACCGAAGAAUGAUUAAAUUGAUAUGCCGAAUGCCUUCAUGUAUGGACUAUAUGCUUGCUAGUUUGUAUGUAGCUUCUAUAGACUAUGUACUCUUGUUUCUAUGCACUAUGAGGUUUGUAUGAACUAUGCACUCUUUUGUUUCUUUGAACUAUGAAGUUUGUAUGGACUAUGCACUCAUUUGUUUAUAUGGACUAUACACUUCGUGGUUUGUAUA